rnacentral:rRNA from 1 species
UACGUAGGGGGCGAGCGUUGUCCGGGAUCAUUGGGCGUAAAGCGCGUGUAGGCGGCUCGGUAAGUCCGGUGUGAAACCUUGGGGCUCAACCCCAAGCCUGCACUGGAUACUGUCGAGCUCGAGUCCGGGAGGGGAGAGCGGAAUUCCUAGUGUAGCGGUGAAAUGCGCAGAUAUUAGGAAGAACACCGGUGGCGAAGGCGGCUCUCUGGAACGGUACUGACGCUGAGACGCGAAAGCGUGGGGAGCGAACAGG